rnacentral:lncRNA from 1 species
AACCAGUUUUCUUUUGUUUUUUCCCACAUUUUUACUAAUCUCUCGGCUUCUAUAGCUUCGAUUCAAUUCAUUGAUGGUUUCUUUUAUUUCUUAUUCUCCUCCUCUCAAUUCUUUUGAUAUUUUAUUACUAUUACAUUUCAAGAUAAAAAGAAAAAUUAAAACAAAUCGACGUAAAAUCCCUGUUUGUUCUAUUUCAAGAAAUAGACCCUUAUGGGAACUUCUCUCUGAAUUUGGUAUUUAUGGUUUAUUUAGGAUACAACUAAUAAAUUAUGACAGAUAACUGACAUUUAAGUUUCAGCCUAGGUCACGUGACUACCGUAACUUUUUUGCUAUUGGUCCGAUUCUGUUCGAAUUUGGUAUUCAGACUUUAUUUAGAAUACAAUUAAUAUACUUUCACAGAUAUUUGAAAUAUAAGACAGUAUAUUGACACACAACGCGACUAUAUAACAAAUUAUGGUUCUUUGAAGCAUGAUACCCCAACAACUGGUCCUCUCUUUCCUUGGCAGGUAAACGUUAGCCUCCCCCACUCACCUAAGUACACCUGAUAGUUUUUGAUUUUUUUUUUAUUACCUUAUGGCUUUUCACAGACAAGACCUAAAGGUUCCAAACUGGUCCCCACGGACCAAAAGUAUAGGAGCGAAGCGACUAUACUUGUUAUAUAGGAGCGUCUGCGACUAUAUUAAGCACGCCACCUCGGGUCCGAAAAAUCGUGUUUUUUUGGAAAUAAAAAUUCAUAUCUUUGGCUGUAUGGCUAGCGAAACGAUGAAAUUUGGCAUAGGGUCUCUCAAUACAUUGAGAAUGAUGGAUCCGUAAACGAAUUUUUUUUCGGGUACCAUCAAACGGAGCGGUACUGUCUCAAAGUCAAAAAUUCGUAAAAAAACGGGUCAAAAUUCAUUUUUGCACGAGAUCUCAAUUUUAACGCUGUCAAAAAAAUUGAAAUUUUUAGGCCUAAAAGACUUUAUAGUAAUUCAUGUCUGUAUACUUUUUGGGCCCGAUCGGUGUACAGGGUGAGUUGUUAUAAGCGAACAAAAGUGACUAAAAAAAAAAUUCAAACUUCUCCAGAGGCUAAAAAAAAAUUUUUAUAAAAAAAGUGUUUCGGCGAAAAGACUUCGUUUUAUAAGAGAUUUAACAUACUUGGAGCUUUUUUUUGUAAAAAAUUUAUUUUACGAGUUCUGGCAUUUUCAGUUUUUUGGGAUUUUCCGCCAAACGAUACUUAUUUUGGGAAAAAUUUUUUUUUCAAAAAAUAACUUCAUCCUUUACCUUUCAUAUGCCAUAUAAUCGAAAUUUUUGGGAACCAUACAGGGCGAGCAAUAAUGAACUUUACCCAUGAAGGUCCGACCCGAAAAUCACAUUUUAUUUAAUAACUUUUUCGUAGUGGCAUCUGGACCAUUUAUAUUCUCAGGCAUUAAAUACUUUAAUAACCCCAGUAUUUGUGUAAAAUUACAAUCUUCCAACUUUAAUAGGUUCUGAGCAAUUCGAAUUUUUGCGUUUAAUUCAUUUGCCGCGUCCCUGUACAUGGUGAAAGGAUCAAACAACAUCUAAAGGAUCCGAAAUUUUGUUUUACAACACAUACUAAAAUUUCAGGAUUCCAGCGAUAGUACAAGUACCCGAAAAAUGCGAUUUUAUGAAAAAAGUCCAUUUUUUUGCGUUUUUGCAGGUAAUUGGAGGUGUCAACCUAAACUCUGAUGAAAUGGCUAGUGGGAACAAUACUUUGACGCAUGGUGGAUACAAAUUUUUUGCUCGUGACAGGUGGCCGGGACUUGGUUGGGUUUUUUGUAAAAUUAUGAAUGAAAAUGAACCGGAAACGAUCAGGGAAAGGAAGCACCGAAUCAGAAAAUGAAUGGGCUUUCCGAAUCUGUGCAUAUCAAUUGGGGAAAUUGUGUAUUGCGGCCAGGAAAAUUCGGCAAACAUUUUGACGUCUUCGAAAAAUGCCGUUUUUUUGAAAAGUCAGUGGUUUUAUACCGGGGUGAGACGAAAUGAAAUUUGCCCGAUUAUUUUAUUAAAAUUAUUCGAAUAUAUACACGGGUCAGUCGUAAUGAUCUAUUUAAUUUAAAAUAAAAAUUUAGAUAUUAGGUGAGCUUUUACUAUUUAGUUUAUUAUUAAUAAAUGUUAAUAAUUCUUAAACAUUGCUUUUGGGUUAUAAAUAAAAAAUUUUUGAAAUUAUUGAUUUUUAAGGUUAG